rnacentral:rRNA from 1 species
GACGAACGCUGGCGGCGUGCCUAAUACAUGCAAGUAGAACGCUGAAGAGAGGAGCUUACUCUUCUUGGAUGAGUUGCGAACGGGUGAGUAACGCGUAGGUAACCUGCCUUGUAGCGGGGGAUAACUAUUGGAAACGAUAGCUAAUACCGCAUAACAAUGGAUGACACAUGUCAUUUAUUUGAAAGGGGCAAUUGCUCCACUACAAGAUGGACCUGCGUUGUAUUAGCUAGUAGGUGAGGUAAUGGCUCACCUAGGCGACGAUACAUAGCCGACCUGAGAGGGUGAUCGGCCACACUGGGACUGAGACACGGCCCAGACUCCUACGGGAGGCAGCAGUAGGGAAUCUUCGGCAAUGGGGGCAACCCUGAACGAGCAACGCCGCGGGAGUGAAGAAGGUUUUCGGAUCGUAAAGCUCUGUUGUAAGUCAAGAACGGGUGUGAGAGUGGAAAGUUCACACUGUGACGGUAGCUUACCAGAAAGGGACGGCUAACUACGUG